rnacentral:rRNA from 1 species
GGAGUUAGCCGGUGCUUCUUCUGUGAGUGAUGUCCUUCCUGCCGGCUAUUAACCCGCAGGCCUUCUUCCUCACUGAAAGUGCUUUACAACCCGAAGGCCUUCUUCACACACGCGGCAUGGCUGGAUCAGGGUUGCCCCCAUUGUCCAAUAUUCCCCACUGCUGCCUCCCGUAGGAGUCUGGGCCGUGUCUCAGUCCCAGUGUGGCUGAUCAUCCUCUCAGACCAGCUACGGAUCGUCGCCUUGGUGAGCCGUUACCUCACCAACCAGCUAAUCCGACAUAGGCUCAUCCGAUAGCGCGAGGCCCGAAGGUCCCCCGCUUUCCCCCGUAGGGCGUAUGCGGUAUUAGCCUGGGUUUCCCCAGGUUAUCCCCCACUACCGGGCAGAUUCCUAUGCAUUACUCACCCGUCCGCCGCUCGCCACCAGGGAGCAAGCUCCCCGUGCUGCCGCUCGACUUGCAUGUGUAGCUCGCCGCCACGCGUCAUCUGAGCCAGAAUACAAACUACUCGA